UACGAAGGGGGCUAGCGUUGUUCGGAAUUACUGGGCGUAAAGGGCGCGUAGGCGGUACUUCAAGUCAGGCGUGAAAGCCCCGGGCUCAACCUGGGAACCGCGCUUGAGACUGGCACGCUCGAGUUCGGGAGAGGAUGGUGGAAUUCCCAGUGUAGAGGUGAAAUUCGUAGAUAUUGGGAAGAACACCGAUGGCGAAGGCAGCCAUCUGGACCGACACUGACGCUGAGGCGCGAAAGCGUGGGGAGCAAACAGG
rnacentral:rRNA from 1 species